UGGCGGACGGGUGAGUAACACGUGAGCAACCUGCCUAUCAGAGGGGGAUAACGAUUGGAAACGAUCGCUAAUACCGCAUGACAUAGCGGAAUCGCAUGGUUCUGUUAUCAAAGAUUUUAUCGCUGAUAGAUGGGCUCGCGUCCGAUUAGAUAGUUGGUGGGGUAACGGCCUACCAAGUCGACGAUCGGUAGCCGGACUGAGAGGUCGAACGGCCACAUUGGGACUGAGACACGGCCCAGACUCCUACGGGAGGCAGCAGUGGGGGAUAUUGCACAAUGGGGGAAACCCUGAUGCAGCGACGCCGCGUGAGGGAAGACGGUCCUCUGGAUUGUAAACCUCUGUCUUCGGGGACGAAACGAGACGGUACCCGAGGAGGAAGCCACGGCUAACUACGUGCCAGCAGCCGCGGUAAUACGUAGGUGGCAAGCGUUGUCCGGAAUUACUGGGUGUAAAGGGAGCGUAGGCGGGCAGGCAAGUCAGGCGUGAAAUAUAUCGGCUCAACCGGUAACGGCGCUUGGAACUGCAGGUCUUGAGUGAAGUAGAGGUUGGCGGAAUUCCUAGUGUAGCGGUGAAAUGCGUAGAUAUUAGGAGGAACACCAGUGGCGAAGG
rnacentral:rRNA from 1 species